ACAGUCACACACGCUGACCUCUAAGGUGGUCACUUGGUCUUUAUUCUGGUUAUCCAUGAGCUUGAGAUUGAUUUUGUAGUCACCCACCUCUAAGGCCAUCUUUGGCUUCAAAAUGAUAGAUUCUUGGGCUGGAGAAAGCAAUAAAAAGAAAUGAUGAGACCAGGGGAGGAAAAUAAAAAGCUCAUUCCAGAAUAAAAUUGCUAGUGAACUAAAGACACCCGCAAGCCGAGUGAAGAGAGCAGAGCUGCUUGGGUUUUAUUUAGGAGGCACAAAGAUGGGGGCUUCAUUCACAUCCAGCACAUCCACGGUGACGGUGGCUGUGGAGGUGGUGAGAGAGACCUCAAAAGCAGAGACUCAAACUCCUGACCUCGUGAUCUGCCUGCCUCAGCGUCCCUAAGUGCUGGGAUUACAGGCGUGAGCCACCACACACAGCACAGUUUCUUGAUUUCUUACAUGAGCAGGAAGAGCCACUGCAAAUCCCACAUGGUCCACUACAAUCUGGGAAAGUCACCCUGUCCCCCUGCCAAAGCGAAUCUACUUCUAAGAAGAUACCAGGGGACAAGGGUAUGAACAGCUGUGAGGAUGCCAGUUUCUGCAUCUUGCCAGGUACCAUACAAACCUUUGCUGUUUUCAAAAUGCCAUCGUUGUUCACUGGAUUUGUGGUGACGACAAAUUGUCCACCAUCAUCAUUCAAUAUGGUGUAUACAGCCUCCCACGCUGGGGUAUUGGGGGCAUCAGCAUCAGUCACUUUCAGUGUGGUGAUUACGACGUUAGCCUCGUUCUCAGGCACCUGACCCUUGUACUGCAGAGCAAAGAGAUGUGUCAUUUACAAAGUACCAAGACUGCUAGCAGAGCUGAGUCUCAGGGGGCUAAAGGAUUCCUCUUUUUUUGUUGUUCUUUUGAGAUAAGAUCUCACUGUCACCAGGCUGGAGUGUAUUUGAGCGAUCAUGGCUCACUGUAGCCUCAACCUCCUGGGCUCAAGCAAUCCUCCCACCUCAGCCUCCAGAGUAGCUGGGACCACAGGCAUGCACCACCACACCUGGCUAACUGAAAGCAAGCUUCAAGGAGAAGAUGUGACAAGGAGAGGCCAGGCAAUGGGCGCACUGGGGUGCAAUGGUACAAUCUCGGCUCACUGCAGCCUCCGCCUCCUGGGUUCAAGCAACUCUCAUGCCUCAGAUGCCCGAGUAGCUGGGAUUACAAGCAUGCACCACCACGCCCAGCUAAUUUUUGUAUUUUUAGUGGAGAUGGAGUUUCGCCACGUUGGCCAGGCUGGUCUCAAACUCCAUCCUCAAGGGAUCCACCAGCCUUGGCCUCUCAACUUGCUAGAUUACAGGUGUGAGCCACCACGCCUGGCCAUUAUACAGGAUGAUUUAAACUUACCCUACUUGGUUCUCAAUACCUUCUCCUUGAAUGCAUGUAAUAUCCUUGGCAUACAAUAAUUCUCAUAAGAUGUCUUCCUGGCUAUACCAGAAACACCAUGAGAAUGGAAUCUUUGUGUGUGAUGGUCUCUCCAGUGUCUAACACAGUGC
rnacentral:lncRNA from 1 species